UAUAUUUUGUCAAAUGAUGUCUUCUUUAAUGAGAGGAAAGGAGGGAGUGAGGGAGUUAACUAGUACCUUAUAAAAAUAAACAAUAAAUAUUCCUUUAAAAGAAGUCACUGAACAACUACAAUUCCAAAUGAACAAUGAUGAAGCAUUCUACUCAUGCCAUUAUGGAGAUGUCUUGGAUUCAAGGCUUGAGUGGGCCAUUCAUCUGAAAUCCGUCCAGCCUGCGUCACUUGCUUCUCUGUUUUUCCAAAGGGACCAAGAUGUCUUCUUCAAAGAAAAAACCAAUCUGGAUAAAGCUUUGAGCUUAAAGUUUACCCAAUUAAA